CCCUUAGAUGUUCUGGGCUGCACGCGUGCUACACUGAUAUUGCCAAUAUGUCAUUCUUAUCCGAAAUGGAUUGGGUAAUCAAGUAAUGAAAUUUCAUGCUUGGAAUCGGUAAUUGCAAUUUUAUCGUGAACGAGGAAUUCCUAGUAAGCACUAGUCAUCAGCUAAUGUUGAUUAUGUCCCUGCCCUUUGUACACACCGCCCGUCGCUACUACUGAUUGGGUGUUCAAGUGAGAUGCUUAGACCCUUGUUGCAUGGUUCAUUAUUGUGCUCCGAAAGGAAAAAGUUCCAAGCUUGAGUGUCUAGAGGAAGUAAAAGUCGUAACA
rnacentral:rRNA from 1 species